GUAUAUAUAGCACAGUGGCAGAGCACAUGCUUAGCAUGCAUGAGGUCCUGGGUUUGAUCCCCAGUACAUCCA
rnacentral:tRNA from 1 species